CGCGGGAAAUCUUACCGGGUCCGGACACACUGAGGAUUGACAGGCAAUAUAUUAGCAUAAAGAUUCGUCUUUAGCGCUAAUUGUUAAAUAUGCUAGUCCUUUCAUGAUUAUGUGAUAGGUGGUGCAUGGCCGUUCUUAGUUCGUGGAGUGAUCUGUCUGCUUAAUUGCGUUUCACUAAGGGCCCAUAAAUUCAAGGUAUGUUAGCAAAUGCUGCUCUAUUGACCCCUAAUAGGCUUAACUGUCUUUAGCGCGUGUCUCUACGAGUUCUUUAAAGCACUGCGCAUGCUGUUGGGUCCUGAAAGCAACGAACGUGACCGCAACGUCUUGUUGCCUCUCUAUAAUACCUUCUUAUUUUUAAUAAGAGUAUUUACCUGAGGCUAUUUUAAAACUAGACGGACCGCUGUUUCUUUCUUAAACCAGAGGAAGGUUGCGGCAAUAACAGGUCUGUGAUGCCCUUAGAUGUU
rnacentral:rRNA from 1 species